rnacentral:lncRNA from 1 species
CAUAUUCCUUGUCGGGUCUUCCAUUUCCUUGGCAGUUCUGCAUCUGUGUUAUGACAGGACAUGUGUUGUUGGUGUACACUGGUCCUGAAGAAUCAUAAAACCAACUUCCGUGGUAUAGAUCACAACCUGCAAAAAAACAUAAUCAAGUUACAGAUUAGAGACUCUAGAAAAUGAGUAUGGAGGAUCGGAAUUAGACGUUAAAAAGAAAUUUAUAAGUAUGCAAAAUUAUGAAUUCUGCUUCUACUUCAGAAAUGAUAUAUUAGUGACUGAUCAACUGCAUCCAUAUCUUAAUAAUGCUUUUCAAUUUCUAACUGUAUUAUUUACUUAGCAUGUUAUAGUCACUUAAUUUAUUUCCAUCAGUAUACCAUCAAGGCUAAUCUUAUACAGCUUAGCAAGUUUCAUCAUCAAUAAAUGCAGAACAUUCUUUCAGCUAGUUACACACUCCUAAACCAUAUUUGGCUGAUGAUAAGCCACAAAAAUGGUAGGCAGAUGCAGCAUCUCAAGGAAACUUUUCCCUCUUUUGGCUCUCUACUGGAAGAAUUUUGUACCCAUAUAAAGGCAAUGAUAAAACUGUGCUCGUUUAGUCACUUGAGAAGUACAUUGUUGUUACAUAUAAUAAGUGUUAUGGCAAGUUACCAUAUUUGAGACUUUACUAAAGAGGUAAACAUAAUGAAUCAAUAUCCUCAUAUACAAGUUGUCAGAAAAGAAAGUUUCCAAAAUUGAAGCAAAUCCAAACACAACUGUAACAAUAAUCAUAUCCUAAAAACAAGUAAGAUUAUCACAAUAAGUUCAAUAGAUAUACCUGAUGCAACAAAAUCAAUCUGGGUGUUAUUGUUGGAGGGAGGUGGAGAAGGUAAAGCAGGCAUUGCCAAUUUUGCUAAGUUAUUGGUAUUGUUCGAUCCUAUAUAUAUGCUGCCUGAGUUUUCUGAUGAUCCCAGAU